UCGAACUUUAACUAAUUUUCGGAAACCGUUCAAUUUUGAAUUGAUUUUUGAAAAUUAGUUAAAAAAUAAAAUAAGUGCAAGAGUGAAGAGAAUGAAGAAAAAAAAUAUAAUUUAAUAUAAAUUUGAAUGUUAUAUUUAUAAUUUUGGAGGUAGAGGGAAAAACUCUAAUAUAAUACUCUUGAUUGGAUUUUGUACUUUGUACUUUGAUAUGCUGUUACACCGUCUCUUCUUCACUCUCCACAAAAACCUAAACUUAAUCAAAGUUAAAAAGGUAUUUUGGUUAUUAUGGAAAAAGCCCCCAAAAAUUUGCUUUAAUUAUCCAAGUCAGCGUUAAAUAUUAUUCUCUAAAUCUCUUUAAUAAUCCUAUCCACUUUUUUAGCCCUAAAGUCAAUUUUAUUUAAAGAACUGAGCUAAUAUAAAUCAAGACCAAAUAAAAAUAGCAAGUGUGACUCAUCUAAGUGAUUGUGAAAGGGCCAUAGCAAUUAUGGUCAAUUAUAACUCAUCUAUAUCUUUCU
rnacentral:lncRNA from 1 species